UACGUAGGGUGCAAGCGUUAAUCGGAAUUACUGGGCGUAAAGGGCUCGUAGGUGGCCAACUAAGUCAGACGUGAAAUCCCUCGGCUUAACCGGGGAACUGCGUCUGAUACUGGAUGGCUAGAGUUUGGGAGAGGGAUGCGGAAUUCCAGGUGUAGCGGUGAAAUGCGUAGAUAUCUGGAGGAACACCGGUGGCGAAGGCGGCAUCCUGGACCAACACUGACGCUGAGGAGCGAAAGCCAGGGGAGCAGACGGG
rnacentral:rRNA from 1 species